AGUGAACGCUGGCGGUAGGCCUAACACAUGCAAGUCGAACGGCAGCACAGUAAGAGCUUGCUCUUACGGGUGGCGAGUGGCGGACGGGUGAGGAAUACAUCGGAAUCUACUUUUUCGUGGGGGAUAACGUAGGGAAACUUACGCUAAUACCGCAUACGACCUACGGGUGAAAGCAGGGGAUCUUCGGACCUUGCGCGAUUGAAUGAGCCGAUGUCGGAUUAGUUAGUUGGCGGGGUAAAGGCCCACCCAGGCGACGAUCCGUAGCUGGUCUGAGAGGAUGAUCAGCCACACUGGAACUGAGACACGGUCCAGACUCCUGCGGGAGGCAGCAGUGGGGAAUAGUGGACAAUGGGCGCAAGCCUGACCCAGCCAUACCGCGUGGGUUAAGAAGGCCUUCGGGUUGUAAAGCCCUUUUGUUGGGAAAGAAAAGCAGCAGGUUAAUACCCCGCUGUUCUGACGGUACCCAAAGAAUAAGCACCGGCUAACUUCGUG
rnacentral:rRNA from 1 species